GAGGGUACAGCUCAAGUGGUAGAGCGCAUGCUUAGCAUGCCUGAGGGCGUGGGUUCAACCCCCAGUACCUCCU
rnacentral:tRNA from 1 species